GGAGGGUUGGCAGAGCGGUAAUGCAGCGGAUUGCUAAUCCGUGACCGGUAAUACUGGUCCACAGGUUCGAGUCCUGUACCCUCCGCCA
rnacentral:tRNA from 1 species